rnacentral:miRNA from 10 species
GAGUCACCAGAAAAACUUGAUAAGAUGCAGAUGCCUGGGCUGCACCACCCUUUGAGACUUUAAGCAGGUCAUGGUGGAGUCCAGGAAUCUGCAUUUUAACAAAGCCCCCAGGUGGAUCUGCUACAAGUGG